CAGCUCCUGCCAUUUAAUAUUGAUUCUACCAAAAAGAAAAAGAGAAAAAGGAAGCUUGAAAGACACAACACAAUCCUGUGGAUCUGGCUUUUGUGAUGGAGGCACAAGCAGAGGCUAAGUUCCUUAUUAGUUUUUCCAUCAGGCAAGCGAAGGUGGAGUAUGAUCCAAGUGAAGGAUCUCUUCCAGAAUCUUUAGGGUCACAAAUGGCUUAGAAUGUGGCAGAUAUAAGGCCACAUCACCCCAGCAGCCAGAGGUUCAACCAAGGGAGCUGAGCUGUGAAGUUGGGAAGUAUUUUGCAGCAUCAGAAUGUCUCUGUGAGUUUGUUCAUCGAGCCACUGGUGUUGUGUUAACCACUGAGGUGACUACGAGAAAUCCAUUCCAAGCGCAUGUGAGUCUGCAGCAAGGUCCAAACACAGCUCUGACUGAUGGAAAAGAUUCAUCAGUCUCCAAGAAGGGAGAAUCUACUCUCUCAUCUGGGCACCCAGCUCUCCCUGGAUGGUAAGAAGGAUGUGGAUACAUCAUGUAUACACCAGAGGAACAUGACACAGAGACCCUGAUUAUGAAGAAGGCUGUCAGGUCAGAGAGACACUGGAAAACAACCCUUGCCCUCUGCUCCUUCUUUGUCCUAAAGCAGAAAGUCUACUGAGAUCGUGACUUGUGACUGAGCAUUGUUACUAUCAGUUAUGAUUAACUUAAAAAAUGUGAGACCUUCAUUUACAUGACUAUAAUACACCUGGCUGAGGUGCAAUUUUAGGUGUGGAUUAGUGUCAUUCUGAGGUGAUAUGUUUGGUCUCUGUGUAUUCUCUCCACUCCUCAGACAGGGAGCAGCUCUUGCAUUUGCUCAUCCAUUUGGAAUAUAAAUGACCGUUUCCGUCUCUGAUGCAUAAAC
rnacentral:lncRNA from 1 species